rnacentral:rRNA from 1 species
UACGUAGGGUGCAAGCGUUGUCCGGAAUUAUUGGGCGUAAAGAGCUCGUAGGCGGUCUGUCGCGUCUGCUGUGAAAACUCAGGGCUUAACCCCGGGCCUGCAGUCGAUACGGGCAGACUAGAGUGCGGUAGGGGAGACUGGAAUUCCUGGUGUAGCGGUGAAAUGCGCAGAUAUCAGGAGGAACACCGGUGGCGAAGGCGGGUCUCUGGGACGGUACUGACGCUGAGACGCGAAAGCGUGGGGAGCAAACAGG